rnacentral:rRNA from 1 species
GACGAACGCUGGCGGCGUGCUUAACACAUGCAAGUCGAGCGGUAAGGCCCCUUCGGGGUACACGAGCGGCGAACGGGUGAGUAACACGUGAGCAAUCUGCCCAUCACAUCGGGAUAACUCCGGGAAACCGAAGCUAAUACCGAAUACGACCACCUCCGGCAUCGGAUGGUGGUGGAAAGUUCCGGCGGUGAUGGAUGAGCUCGCGGCCUAUCAGCUUGUUGGUGGGGUAACGGCCCACCAAGGCUUCGACGGGUAGCCGGCCUGAGAGGGUGACCGGCCACACUGGGACUGAGACACGGCCCAGACUCCUACGGGAGGCAGCAGUGGGGAAUAUUGGACAAUGGGCGAAAGCCUGAUCCAGCAACGCCGCGUGAGGGAUGACGGCCUUCGGGUUGUAAACCUCUUUCAGCAGGGACGAAGCGCAAGUGACGGUACCUGCAGAAGAAGCACCGGCCAACUACGUG